rnacentral:rRNA from 1 species
ACGAGAAAGGGGAGCAAUCCCUGAGUACAGUGGCGACCGGGUGAGUAACACGUGACUACCUACCCUUGAGUGGGGGAUAACCUCGGGAAACCGAGGCUAAUACCGCAUAAUAUCGAAAGAUCAAAGGAGAAAUCCGCUUUUGGAGGGGGUCGCGGCUGAUUAGCUAGUUGGUGAGGUAAUGGCUCACCAAGGCGAAGAUCGGUAUCCGGCCUGAGAGGGCGCACGGACACACUGGAACUGAAACACGGUCCAGACUCCUACGGGAGGCAGCAGUGGGGAAUCUUGCACAAUGGGGGAAACCCUGAUGCAGCGACGCCGCGUGAGCGAUGAAGCCCUUCGGGGUGUAAAGCUCUUUCGGCAGGGAAGAUUAUGACGGUACCUGCAGAAGCAGCUGCGGCUAACUACGUGCCAGCAGCCGCGGUAAUACGUAGGCAGCAAGCGUUGUUCGGAGUUACUGGGCGUAAAGGGUGUGUAGGUGGCCUGUUAAGUUCCGUGUGAAAUCUCCCGGCUCAACCGGGAGGGUGCGCGGAAAACUGGCGGGCUAGAGUACGGGAUGGGAGAGUAGAAUUCCUGGUGUAGCGGUGAAAUGCGUAGAUAUCAGGAGGAAUACCGGUGGUGUAGACGGCUCUCUGGACCGUAACUGACACUGAGACACGAAAGCGUGGGUAGCAAACAGGAUUAGAUACCCUGGUAGUCCACGCCCUAAACGAUGCAUAUUUGGUGU